CCAGCGGCCCGUGCGGCUGUUCCGGCCAGGGCUAGGAAGGCCGCGUCUGCGCAGUCGGCCUUGGCGCUCUGCACUUUCUCCCUGGAGGAGUGCCGAGUCACUCUCUGGCCCGCGAACUGUGGGACGCGCUGGGCUCGAGAAACAAAGGAAACCCACGCACACGUGUUUGCAGUAUAGCGAACGUGAAAACAGCGGGUGAGACUUAGGGGUCCAGCAGGCCAGGCCUCCAGGGCUGUCAUGAGGAAUGGCAGGCAAGCCGCAGGCCCAGGGAUCCAGGCCAGGGCCAGCUAAGGCGGUCUAAUGGUCAAAUUCUAUAAACAGCCCCUUUAGGGAUAUAUAGAAUUUGCCACGUAUACUCACAAACCCUAAGUUGUUAGUUCUCCUAAGUUGUUAGUUCUUAGGAGAAAAUUAAGUAAUCUUGGAGUUCAGCAAAAGAAAAGCAUGAAUCCACUCACCAUUAGUAUUUUUUGUUACAAUCAAGUGCUAUAUGGGACGUAAGCAUUUAAGGCGGUAAAGUUGCAGAAACAAAUGUUUAAAUAAAUUAAUAUGUGGUUUUAAAUCCUGUUUCUGUUAGGUUGGCAAGGCUCACCUAAACUCUGCAAUGUGGUAUUUCUCAUUCACUCUAUCUACUCUUUAGCAGCAGCAGGAUCAAAGGCAAACAUACAUGCUGACAUACUAUGGAUUAAAUUACUUUCACACUUUAAAUAUUAGGAUUUGUGUUAAUACUUAGUAAACUUACCUAAAAGAGACAAUCAUACAAACUGAUUUUUGGACAAUUCAUCAGUGGAUGUUCCAAUUUUUCACCUUACUUCCUUUCCUACUGAUAAUUUUAAUAGGAAUAGGCCUUAGUAAAUGUUUUUCAACUUUAUUUCAAAGUUUUAAAAACCAUAACCACUGAGUACUUGGUUAAAUGCUAUGUUUACUGCAAGUUCACUUUCCCUUCCUGAUGUUACUUACUCUCCUUGUCCUCUAACCUGUUUUUCUUUCUUAGUCCUCCAAAUGGCACCAAUAUGUAUUACUUUUUUCAUCUUUGGGAGUAGGGUGGGGGUAGGAAGUGGAUUAGGAGGUUAAGGGAUUUUCAGAUGCUUCUAGCAGAGAUUUCAUUGUAGUGGACAGGGAACAUCAUGGUCAAGUAAGUGACAAUGUUACAUGUUGUGGUACAGCCAAGAAGAUGGCCAUCUGAAGGGUAAGCACAGAUCUGAACACAAGCUGCAGUGGGAAACCAAACACAGAAUCAUGGGUAACUGAUGAAAGAGCAGUCUGGGCUGAACUGGGAAAACACUCAGAAAGAGAUGAGGGUAGAACCUAGGGGAGCCCCAGUGAGUGGCAACAGAGGGUGGCUUCCUCCUCCCCCCGACAGAUGCAAAAGCCACUAGGCUAUAAAUUUCACAACUGCUUCUCCUCCUUGUCAAGGGAGAAAUACUUGGGGAAACAUGGGCCCUGGAGUAACAGUAUAUGGGAUUAAAUUUAACUUUUUUCAAGUACUGGCUUUGUGUUCCUAAGCCUGUUUCUUAGCAUGAGUCCCUCUUGUCUGCAUUUGGAUAAUGACAGCUACCUCAUGGCUACUAGGUGAAUUACAGGAGCUUAACUGAGUGUUAUCUGUGAAUGUGACCAAGUCAGGCCCCCAAAUUUAAUUUCUAAAUCCAUCCUGGCGUAGUCCUCUUCCAUUGCCUUGUUGAGAUCAUUCUCUCUACUAUAUACAUACAAGAAUUGAAACUCCACUUCUCAUGGUGCUUUAUAUGCUAUCCUUGGCAAACAUGGAUUUCAAUUUGUUGAUCCACUUAAACAAUGCCAGAAUAUCAAAGGACAUGAGUUUAGGUUAAAAGGCCAGGGGAGCCUGUUCCUAAUCUGCCAAGUGGCUUCAUUCCCCUAAACUCAUUAAUGGAUGGUAAUCACCCUCUCUGGUGACUUGUAUGAUAAGGUAACAGAAUUUUUUUUCACCCCUUUAUCAGGCCUCUUCACUUUCUCUAUAAUGCUGCCCUUUGAAAGCUUCCAAGGCUUCACUGAUCCCCGGUGGUAGAAUGUAUAUAGUGCCAGACUGAACUGCAAUGUUUCCAUUUCAUACAGAGCCAUAUAUGUACACAUAUAUUCCCCAUGAGUGCCAUGAAGUAGGACCUUUGCAUAGGUAAGUAUAGUGCCCUACAGAUGACUACCUACUCAACCCUGUGAAAAUGAGGGCGGUCUGGGAAGCAGCCAUUCUUACACCCAGCAAUGCAUUGGUAAUCACAUUGGUAAACCAGGGCACAGGUAGGCUGAGGCCAAAAGAUGACCUCUCAGACAUUAGAGAAGCCACUCACCAGAAGCUAUGUUUUAGUAUCCAUAGAAAGUAAAGUUUUCUUUAUUACAAUAAGAGAAGGUUACAAAUUGCUUUUGCACAGUUUUCCCUUGUAUCAAACUCCGUUUCCAUCUGGGGACAGUUGAGGUUCUAAACAUUUGGGCCACAGCAGAAAGCCAGAGCUGUGUUUGCUCCCCACUUGUAAAUGCACUAAAAGGCCAUACUCUGAUGUGAGAUUCUCUCAACUCACCAAUUGUUCUUUAGGAAGAACAAAAGAGCCACCCCAGCUUCAGAUGUCCAUGUUUGUGGUAUUUCAACAACUACUACACAUGCCCAACAUAGCAGUGUCCAACUUGCUUCUAGACAAUUUCCUAAAAUUUGAUACCACUCAAGUGAGUACUUACUGGGCUCUGCUGAGGAACAAAGGAGGAGGUGAGCACAUAUUAUUCAAAACUAACUUGCUGCUGUUGUUAAAGAAAUUGCAACCAAAACAAAAUAGCAAAAAUAUUAUUUUCCCCUAAAUUGAUACUUACUGACUGGAGUAUUGCUAUUUGAAUAGUCAAAGAAGUACCAAUCAAUUCCCCAUUCUGUUAGUUUCAAGGCUUUCCGUAAUCAAGGGAGAUGGCUUUAAAUGAUCCAGAGUCAUUGCAGCAUCACCACUAGCAUAUUCAUGGGGCAGAGAAGUUACCAACUAGAUCAACCAGAGGAAAAGAGGUCCACAACUAGGGGCAACUCAAUUAAGGCAGGGUGCUGAGUAUUUCACAUAAAAUUGUUUAGAGCAAUGUUGUCUGACAGAAAUAUAACACAAUCGAAUAGGUGUCACACCAUAUUCUAGUAACCACAUCAAGAAAAUAAAAGAAAAAAUACUCAUUUCAGAAAUACAGACGCUAAAAUUGGAGCUCUAUAGAUGUGCUCAGCCCAAUUCAAAGAUACCAAGAAAAUUGGUGAUGUGUUCCAUAUUUAAAAACAAACAAGAGGAAUUAAUUUUAGCAGUAUUUCUUAUUUGGCCCACUAUACUCAAAAUGUUAUUUUAACAUGUGUUCAUUUAAAACUUACUGAACUGCAUUAAUCUUUCCUUAUGUAGUGCUUUCGUGAUCCAGUGUGGAUUUGUACUUGGUGCAUCUCAGAUUGGACUAGCAACAGUCAAAUGUCCAAUAGCCACACAGGAGAAGUCUAAUAUCUGAAAACAAAAUAUCCACUUGUUUGGAGUUGGGUACUGGAAGUUUAAAUUCAUACUUAAAAAUUCUUUUUCAAAAAACAGAAACAUCAAGAUACAUAAGGAUACCAGUCAUUCUCAUUAAUAUGGAAAUCAAGCACAAAGUAUCAAUGGGAGAUGUGUAAGGACUGAGACUGAUGUCUAAAGGCCAGGCGUUGGUGGCACACGCCUUUAAUCCCAGCACUUGGGAGGCAGAGGCAGGAGGAUCUCUGUGAGUUCGAGGCCAGCCUGGUUCAGACUGAUGUCUAGUAACAUAAAAAGAGCAACCAAUUACAGUGUGAUGGCAUUGUAGGCCAGACUGGCUCUAGUACCUAACUUACUUUUGUAUCUUUUAACAGAGUGAAACAGCAAUCUUUCCCAACCCAAACAGAAAAAGUUUCCAUUUGUGUCAAUAGAAACAAGUUUUUCUGUCUUGAGCCACAGCCUGCUACAGCUCUGCCAGUCAGUCUAUGGAUGCUCUGUGAUAGCAUUCUGGUGAAAUGGUUGGUGAAGAUGGGGCUCACUUCAGAGCUGAAUCUGUCUGAGGGCAGGAUCUACAGAGGUCUGCCAUUGAAUUCCCUUUGUGCUGACAUCUAAUUUGGCUACGGUGCAAUCCGUUCUAGUCAGUCCAGGAAAAAAAAAAAAAAAGUCCAUGAGACUGUGCAAGACUGAAGCUACAGAGCAGCCAGCCCAGCUUUUGUGUGGUACUUUAACUAUAGAGAUCAAGCUCACUACGCCAAAGACACACUAACAUUCGUGGCCCAUAACAGAUCCUGUGUUCAGUGAUAGCUAACCUGGUCAAUUUCUUUUGACUACCAAAUGAAGUGAAAUGUAAAGUAGUAAUAGUAAUCUAGAAUUUCUAAAGUAUCACCAUAUUCAGCUAAAGCCCUAACUUCAGGAUGCCUGAGGCCAAGCACUGAAUUCUUUUCUUACUCUGCCCAAUGAACACUAAGGAAAUCCACUUCAGACAACAGUGGAGAAAGGUGGCUGGCCCGUGGAAUCAGUCACCUUGGGAGGUGAGAGAAUGCUUGAGAUGCACAGACUGUGUCUAUGUUGCUUGGUUCAUGACGACACAGGCUCUGAGGAGCACAGCUUACACUGCUGGGCACAUUCACUGCAGCUCUGUUCACAAGCCUCAACGGUACCCUGAAACCAGAGACUGUGUCUGACCUCAGGUCAUCCACAGUGAUUUGAGGAACCAGAACUCACUCUCCCCACCCCAGACCAUCCCUGUUCUGUGUUGUUGUUCUAAUAUUGUCUUCCAUUUGCAGUUGGCUGGAACACACUGUUGACAGCCAAAGCCAGGUGUGUAGCAGUCGCUUGUCCUUACAGGAAGCCCUUUAUCAGCCUCCGGAAAAAUGCAGCCCUAAUCCCUGUCCUAUGCUUCUAAUCCACAUGCCUAAAUCCCAUUUCUGCUGAGAUGGAGCUCUCAGAACUGACUCCAUCAGUAUUCCCACACUGCUGUCUGCAGCAAAUGCUCCAACAGGCCCAAUUCCUUCUGGGAGUCAAGACAAUUCCUCCAGCCAAAGGCUGGGCCUCCAUAUCCCAUCUAGUGCAAAAGGCCACUUUCCUGGGGGCCUUCCUCCGUCCCUGUUCCACUGCCACCUGCUUCCUAGAACUCACUGAAUGAAGAAUCACCUGAAGUCCUGGCUCACCCUCAGCGUUUUCUUCUUUAACAAACUAUUUCACCCUACUCAAGAUGUUAGUAGAGGAACUCUUACUUUAAAGACUGCCAACAAAAAGUGCUGAGUGUGAAUGGCGACACAUUGGAGUGGGUUAACAGUUGCUUGGUUCUCCACUGCUGCUGUCCUGUUUCUCAGGCCUAGACAUCCCUGGUGUGCAGCGGCACUGAGUAUGAACUGACUUCCCGGCUCACAGUUGAGUGUGACUGAGUAACUGACUUUACAGCUCACAGGCUUCUGUGACACUCAUGACAUGCAACAGAAGAUGCAAUACUAGCAGAGAGAUCAGAAAGGGAAAGCUAGAACCCCCAAACCCUCCUUGGAGCACUGACCACUGAAUAUCACAUUCUUCUAUCAAGAGGCUGAGCUGAGCACGAGCUGCGUGGGCUGCCUGUGUAGGUGUGCAGUGGGCUGAGGGUACCUAGUCUCUGUGCCUUGCCUUUUGUGCACACAGCAAGGGCAAGGACCACACAGGCAAGCUGUCCAACCAGAUUGUUAGCCAAGUAUGCUGACUAACACCAUCAUCAAUUCAAUGGUCUAUGUGAUGUAAAGUGCAUCAUCUCAGGAUAACUUCAGGGGACUGUGUGGUCUGAUUCAGACAAAGUUUCAUGCCUGAUAGGCUAACACACGAGAUAUAUUAAAGGCACAUGCAGGACUCUUCCAGAGAUGUCAGGGAAUCCCCACUUAAGUCCUACACCUGGGAGCACUACCCUCUUCAGGAAUCUCCAUGUAAAUCCUACACCUGGGAGCACUGCCCUCUGCAGGAAUCUCCAUGUAAGUCCUACACCUGGGAGCACUGCCCUUUGCUAUCCCUGGCUCGGAAUAACAUUUUCAACCCCCACUUUGGGUUCCUAAACAGCCUCCUGGUCUCUAUCUCCUCCCAGGUCACUGGAUACUGUUAGAAUUUCUUAUAGCUAACGUCCCUGGACCACUCCAUCACCUAACCACACAUCUGUCUCUACCUCUGGUUUGUAGGAGAAAAAGCACUGUUUCUUCAGUAUUUUCAGUUUCUCUCUAAUGAGAGGCCUCCCGAAGCUAAUAAUAAUUACUAAUAUCUGAAGACAGGAUGUUCUGCCCUGUGCCCUGUAUCAUGACCAAGAAUACCUCCAAGAACAACUCUUCCAGAAGAUCCUGAAACCAUUAAGGCGCCUAAGGACCCAGUCAAACACCUACAAUCAAUAGCCCUAAUCUGAGAGCAAUCUGUAAUAAUAAUUAAACAAUUUUUAAAAACAUAAAAUAAUAUUUUGGGGUAUUUUCUCUUCAUUUGAAAGUAAAAGCAGAAAAUUUGGGAA